rnacentral:rRNA from 1 species
CCUACGGGAGGCAGCAGUGAGGAAUAUUGGUCAAUGGGCGCUAGCCUGAACCAGCCAAGUAGCGUGAAGGAUGACUGCCCUAUGGGUUGUAAACUUCUUUUAUAUGGGCAGAAAGUGCAGUAUGUAUACUGCUUUGCAGGUACCUUAUGAAUAAGGAUCGGCGAAAUCCGUGCAAGCAGCCGCGGUAAUACGGAGGUUCCGAGAGUUAUCCGGAUUUAUUGGGUUUAAAGGGAGCGUAGGCGGGUUGUUAAGUCAGUUGUUAAAGUUUUCGGCUCAACCGUAAAAUUGCAGUUGAUAGUGGCAUCCUUGAGUACAGUAGAGGUAGGCGGAAUUCGUGGUGUAGCGGUGAAAUGCUUAGAUAUCACGAAGAACUCCGAUUGCGAAGGCAGCCUGCUGGACUGUAACUGACGCUGAUGCUCGAAAGUGUGGGUAUCAAACAGGAUUAGAUACCCCAGUAGUC